GACGAGGGGUCCUAGCGUUGUUCGGAAUCACUGGGCGUAAAGCGUUCGUAGGCGGCUCUAUAAGUCGGGUGUGAAAUCCCACGGCUCAACCGUGGAAGUGCAUUCGAAACUGCAGAGCUUGAAUAUGGUAGAGGGUAGUAGAAUUCCUGGUGUAGUGGUGAAAUACGUAGAUAUCAGGAGGAAUACCGGUGGCGAAGGCGACUACCUGGACCAAUAUUGACGCUGAGGAACGAAAGUGCGGGGAUCAAACAGG
rnacentral:rRNA from 1 species